UAUAAAGUGGCGCACGGGUGAGUAACACGUGACUAACCUACCCUCGAUGGGGAAUAACCUAGAGAAAUCUGGGCUAAUACCGCAUAACACUUACGAGUCAAAGCAGAAAUGCGCUUGAGGAGGGGGUCGCGGCAGAUUAGCUAGUUGGCGGGGUAAUGGCCCACCAAGGCAAUGAUCUGUAUCCGGCCUGAGAGGGCGCACGGACACACUGGAACUGAAACACGGUCCAG
rnacentral:rRNA from 1 species